AACGAACGCUGGCGGCAUGCCUAACACAUGCAAGUCGAACGAGACCUUCGGGUCUAGUGGCGCACGGGUGCGUAACGCGUGGGAACCUGCCCUUAGGUUCGGAAUAACUCCCCGAAAGGGGUGCUAAUACCGGAUAAUGUCUUCGGACCAAAGAUUUAUCGCCUUUGGAUGGGCCCGCGUUCGAUUAGCUGGUUGGUAGGGUAAAAGCCUACCAAGGCGAGGAUCCAUAGCUGGUCUGAGAGGAGGAGCAGGCACACUGGGACUGAGACACGGCCCAGACUCCUACGGGUGGCAGCAGGGGGGAAUAUUGGACAAUGGGCGAAAGCCUGAUCCAGCAAUGCCGCGUGGGUGAAGAAGGUCUUCGGAUUGUAAAGCACUUUCGACUGGGACGAUGAUGACGGUACCCGUAGAAGAAGCCCCGGCUAACUUCGUG
rnacentral:rRNA from 1 species